UACGUAGGGGGCUAGCGUUGUCCGGAAUCAUUGGGCGUAAAGCGCGUGUAGGCGGUUCGGUAAGUCCGCUGUGAAAGUCGGGGGCUCAACCCUCGAAUGCCGGUGGAUACUGUCGGACUAGAGUACGGAAGAGGCGAGUGGAAUUCCUGGUGUAGCGGUGAGAUGCGCAGAUAUCAGGAGGAACACCAAUUGCGAAGGCAGCUCGCUGGGACGUUACUGACGCUGAGACGCGAAAGCGUGGGGAGCAAACAGG
rnacentral:rRNA from 1 species